GAUGAACGCUGGCGGCGUGCCUAAUACAUGCAAGUCGAGCGAACGGACGAGAAGCUUGCUUCUCUGAUGUUAGCGGCGGACGGGUGAGUAACACGUGGAUAACCUACCUAUAAGACUGGGAUAACUUCGGGAAACCGGAGCUAAUACCGGAUAAUAUUUUGAACCGCAUGGUUCAAAAGUGAAAGACGGUCUUGCUGUCACUUAUAGAUGGAUCCGCGCUGCAUUAGCUAGUUGGUAAGGUAACGGCUUACCAAGGCAACGAUGCAUAGCCGACCUGAGAGGGUGAUCGGCCACACUGGAACUGAGACACGGUCCAGACUCCUACGGGAGGCAGCAGAGGGAAUCUUCCGCAAUGGGCGAAAGCCUGACGGAGCAACGCCGCGUGAGUGAUGAAGGUCUUCGGAUCGUAAAACUCUGUUAUUAGGGAAGAACAUAUGUGUAAGUAACUGUGCACAUCUUGACGGUACCUAAUCAGAAAGCCACGGCUAACUACGUG
rnacentral:rRNA from 1 species